rnacentral:rRNA from 1 species
AAUGGACGCAAGUCUGAACCAGCCACGUCGCGUGAAGGAAGACGGCCCUACGGGUUGUAAACUUCUUUUAUACGGGAAUAAAGUGCCCCACGCGUGGGGUUUUGCAUGUACCGUAUGAAUAAGGAUCGGCUAACUCCGUGCCAGCAGCCGCGGUAAUACGGAGGAUCCGAGCGUUAUCCGGAUUUAUUGGGUUUAAAGGGUGCUCAGGCGGGGGAUUAAGUCGGCGGUGAAAUUUUGCAGCUCAACUGUAAAAGUGCCUUCGAAACUGGUUUCCUUGAGUGUGGAUGAGGUAGGCGGAAUUUGUGGUGUAGCGGUGAAAUGCAUAGAUAUCACGAGGAACUCCGAUUGCGCAGGCAGCUUACUAAACCAUAACUGACGCUCAAGCACGAAGGCGUGGGGAUCAAA